rnacentral:misc_RNA from 1 species
GAAAUGCGAUACGUCAUGCGAAUUGCAGAAACUUGUGAGUCAUCAAAAUUUUGAACGCAACUUGCACUUCCCUCUGGGGAGUAUGUCUGUUGGAGUGUCUGUUCAUCCCCACUUCUCACACUUGUUCUCUGAACAGGAGUGAUGAUAGCGCCGGCCGCUUGUCGCACGUCAGUUUAACGAUUGGCGACGGACAAGCGAGCCUAGAUGAGACACCACCGAUCAACCGAACUCGCCCCCGCUUCGGGACAGGCCGUCAAACAGCCAGUUCUCAAAAGCUCGGUCGACGCGACGUGAAAGCUGAUUAGUUUCGGCCCCCAUAACGCGUCUUCACACCAAACGAGCCGAAGAAGCCAAGGCAACCAAGAGUUCAUCCGACCGGACCUCCAAUCAGACAAGAUUA